rnacentral:rRNA from 1 species
GGGCGCAGCCUGAUCUAGCCAUGCCGCGUGUGUGAUGAAGGUCUUAGGAUCGUAAAGCACUUUCGCCAGGGAUGAUAAUGACAGUACCUGGUAAAGAAACCCCGGCUAACUCCGUGCCAGCAGCCGCGGUAAUAC